rnacentral:rRNA from 1 species
GGCUCAAAGGGUGGUUAAAGAUACAUACACAAAUAGAACUAAAAACUAACUACGCUGUCGCACGCAAUAGUUUUAAAAAAUACAGUUUCGAAAGUAGUUCUACUAAACAAACUUGAACCCACGACAGCUAGGACCCAAACUGGGAUUAGAUACCCCACUAUGCCUAACCAUAAACUUUGAUUUAUCCGCCAGAGUACUACGAGCAACAGCUUAAAACUCAAAGGACUUGGCGGUGCUCUAUACCCCCCUAGAGGAGCCUGUUCUAUAAUCGAUAAUCCACGAUAAACCUCACCAUCUAUUGCUAAUACAGCCUAUAUACCACCGUCCAGCCCACCCUUUAAAGGAUAGACAGUAGGCACAAUUAUAAACAUAAAAACGUCAGGUCAAGGUGUAGCAUAUGAGAUGGGAAGAAAUGGGCUACAUUUUCUAACCUAGAAAACACGGAAAAGUUUAUGAAAUAAGACUAUAAAGGAGGAUUUAGCAGUAAAAAGAAAAAAGAGUGUUCUUUUUAAGCCGGCAAUGGAGCGCGCACACACCGCCCGUCACCCUCUUCAAAUAAUAAUAAAAUAUAAAUAAACAAAAACCAAAGAGAAGAAGAGGCAAGUCGUAACAUGGUAAGUCUACCGGAAGGUGAACUUGGAACAU